GCAACACCUUCGCUGACCUCAUACCAUCGUUGCCACCAGUGUACAAGCUGCUAGAUUCUACUGCCAAAAUCUUCAAAAUCGUCCCUUACAAUACUAACUAAACGAGUUUAGUUUUACGCCGCUUUUAGCAAUAUUCCAG